ensembl:lncRNA
ACCUUGAAGCAGCAGAAAAAAAUAAACAAGAGAAGACAGAGUGGGAAGGCUUCACACUGUGGCUCUGGGGCGAGCAGAUCAUGGGCUCUUGUGGCAGCGUGCGGCUGGGGAGCUUUGAAGAUAACACCCCCUGCCUGCCUUUGACGCAGUCUUUCCAAGGCUACUGCCCUGCACCAGUACCCAGCUGAGCAAUGCCCUCUGUGCUGGCUCCAAGGCUGUGUCAGCGCCUCCACCUCCAUCCCCCAUGUGAACACCACCUUGAGAGAAGGAAACAUGUAAAGAUCAGCCUGGCAGUUCCCCGGCCAUAUCUCAAACAGAUGAGGGGACAAGAGAUUUGCACAAAGCUGAUCUGUGGAGUGCACAAGAUAAUUAUGCAAUGUACGCAUAACCUUUUUCCUUUGGACCUUCCUUUUCAAUAUUGUGAUAACUGUUGUAUUAGAAACCUAAAUAUUGCAGCUGUAAGCACAUAGCUGUUUGGACACCAAGAACAUCCUAGGGGUUAGUGGGUGAUGUGGAUUGAUGUUGUGUUGGGUGACUGAAACUGGGUGGAUGCAUAUCAUUCCUUAUGGGACAAAGAGGAAAUCUUUGUUCUAGGAUUUAAAGGAUUUUCUGCCUCAGACUUCUACGUGCUCAACCCAUCCCAGUCAAAUCUUAAUGUUUUAUUAAAAUACAGAAAUACAUUUUUUUUCCAGAUGUGCCUUUUUAGCUUACCCUCUGCACUGUCAUAUCCAUCUUCACUGGAGAAGCCCUGUCUGUUCCUCUCAAACUAGAACGAUACACUGGUAUCGAAAUACCUUAGGAGAGGUUUUUUCAGUCUAUCAGAAAUUGAUUUAUUGUUUUUUCUAGUUAACCUAAAAUGCUGCAUGUCAGUAACAGAACUUCUGAAAUUUAUUUUCCUGUAAGGCGAAUUGGAAAGAAUCAAAAUUCUUGGAAGCCUUACUCCCAUGAAUGCACUCCUCCCUUUGCUUUUAGGGGAAGCCAGGUGCUAUUGAAUGGUGUUGGACACUUCAAAGUGGUGAGAAAGUCACAGAGACCUCCAAAACCUCUCUUGGGCCAUGUCAACAUAUCAAUCUUAAUUUGGCUGUUGUUUCCUUGUAUGUGCCAACUAUUCUAAUUCAGCACUGAGUUAAAGAAAAACUGAUUCUGUGUUGUCAAAGUUUCUGCAUUCUAAACAUGGAGUUUUAUCUUAUAACAAACACCUGGGUGCUUUUAGCCACUCCUGAACCUUCUUACCAAGACUGUGACGUUUUCCUCAUGAUGUCACUGGUCCUCCCACAAGGCGAUGGCCACAGGAGUCCUCCCCCUGAGCACAGCAGCACAGGGCCCCUUCCAGCUGCAGUCAGGCCAGGCUGGAGCUGGCAUCCAUGCACACCUUGGCUGUACGUUCUCUGUGUGGAAGAACAGGUGGUCUCAUCAGUGUGGCAUGCUCAGAUUAUGCUGCUUAACUCUGAAUACCAUAUUUUGGUGUUUCCAGGCCUGCGCGCUCACUGUGAAAGUCUUCUUGCAGUAAAUAUGUUGUAUAGGUACCCUGCAGUGCUCUUUCACAGACUGCUGAUGGGUUGUUGGUUGUACCCGUGUCUGUCUGGUCACUGCUAGUGACAAGCAUUGAGAAAAUGCCUAUUCUAAAUAUCCAAAUGCAUGUAUGAUUUUCAGAAAAUAGGCUUGUUAAUUUCUUGGGAGAGAUGUAAUAUUCACACCAUCGAACUUGAUAGCUCAAGCACUCGGAGCUCAUGUUGGAAGUGAGACUUACAGCCUUACAGCCUCUCUUAGUGCAGCAUUGCAUACUUCUUCUCUCCAUCUAGGUACCAGAAAGUUGAUUGCAUUUCAUUUCCUUUAUAACUUCUUUGUGACAGACUUUGAAUAAGCCAGGAAAGUCAAUGACAGCUGAAUUGAGAAUUCGAAAGUCCAUUUAAAAGGGAUUAUAGUAAAUGAAACUGUCCUGGUUUUCCUUUUACAAGUCUUUGUGGUAGUUGUACUUUCUCAUUUUCUAUUACCAAUGUGUUCUAUAGGGCGAAGCAGAGCUUUCUUGUAUUUAAUUCUGAGUAGCAUCCUUGAUGCCUUGCAAAUCUGGUAAGAAAGGAGUAGGGGAGCGUGGAGUGCCAAUAUGAUAAUUGUGCUGAUAACAUGAAACUCUUUUUCAUAGUGAAAAUUUUUGAGUAGUGGGAAUUAUAUUUAGGCAAUAGGACUGUAUAACAAUAUAGUAUGAUAUUUUAGUUUAAUAUGUUGCAGUUGAAGUCCCACCAUAAGUAAUGGAUUUUUUCUAAAUCAGAAGAUAACUGAGUUUCUUCAUGUUUGAGGAAGAUAUGUCCUAGCUUUUAUCUCUGUGCUCGAUGCAAGCAUGAUCUAACAUUUGGAUGUACUAGAUCUCACAUCAGACCUUUGUAUUUUAAGGAAGACUAUCUAAACCAAUUAAUAUUUUAUAUGAUAGAACUGUUCUUCCGUCCUAAUGCAUAAUCUUUGAAGUCUGCACUACAAGGAGAAACCUCAUCUUUGGUAAAUUUGUCUUUGGAAUUUGGAUUGACUGUGAAGGAGUGACUUCUGGUGCUUCAGGCAGUUUGUAAGAGAGGAAAACGUGCAGCAGAGUUUGUAAAAUCUCAGCAUUUGCGAGGUAGUGCAGGGCCUGAGUUUAAGAACGAAAGAAAAGACUUAAGAGAAAGGAGGCUUCCCUGUGAUGGAAACCACAGACCAAGACCACUGUGACUUCUAAGUUCAGUGCUGCAAGCCUUUAUCUAAAUUUGCAUAAGCAGCUCCUGCAAAACAUCCAGCAUCUCAUUUGCUUUCUGCACCCACGCUGUUGAGUUGUUUUUAUUAUGCGUUUAAUGACCACUGUACUCCCGUGGCCUUGAUUGCUAAAAUUUAUGUCUAUUUACAGUGCCAUUAUUAGCAUCCAAGUACAUGUUAUUUUGUUGUUUUUAACAUCCUGGAAUCAUAUAGCUGAAAGUUUUCAAUUAACACACUUGGUUGCACAGUAUGCAGUAUUGGACAGGAUAAUGAAACUCAAUCUUUCUGACUUUAUUGACCUAAUUGUAUCAUCUGUAUCACUUUAUUGGUUUGUUAAAAUAAUCCUUCCCUCCCAACCUAUUGAAAUGAUACUGCCUAAUGCACAGAAUGAUUUACCUUUACUUUAGUGUCACCACAAGUGAAAUAGUUUUGGGCCUUUUUAACAAACUGCUGGCAUUAUGGAAAUCAUUUUCCUUAUUAAGUUCCAUUCUUUACAACUCAUUAACUUCUGGUGACAGUAUGUUCAGGGGGACCCAUCCCUAAUACAUGGUACCUCCAUGGUCACUUCAAAGCCACACCUGAGGCAGUUUUUUCUUCUUCAUUAUAUAGCUCCACUUCAGUUCCCUAAUCACAGACUACUUUUAAUUCAAACCUGUAGCAACCGGACUCUCUCUCCAGCUCAUAUCCAUCAUUGAGGGGUAAUCAUAAGGAAAAUUUUGGCAUUAAAGAAAAUUCAUUCAUUCUUACAAUUGAAAACCAACUGUUAAGCUACACACAAGUUGAGGUUAAUGUUUCCUUCACCAAAAUGCUUUACACCAGGGUAGGAGGGCUCAGACAUACUGCAUGCAGGGGUUUCCCUUUCUGUAGGGGAAGUGCCACCUUUUUACCACUUACACAUUUGCGUGAGGCACCAAUGUCUUUGUACUCGUAUUUGAAAUCCUGGAGUGCUGUGUUAGAGAUACAGCUAUUGUGCAAGAAACACAUUCUGUAAUAACAGCUCCAGUAUUUCUGCAGGCGUCUGUGAAUAGGUGUCAUACUCGUGUCUGAUUCUUCCAUUACUGCUCUGUUGUUCUCUCUGAACCAUGUCAGAGGCUUUAGGAGCUGUGUUGUCAGAAAUCCAGGUGUGAUGGCGACCACAACUUCCACAGUCGUGAGCCACCCCGGCCCCUUGGCUCAGCCACCCACACACAGCGAUGCUGGAGUUGCUUCUCUUGUGCCCGGCGUUUGGGUUGGCCCCCAAGCAGAGCUCGCAGGCACACACGUAGUGCAGGAGGAGGCUUCUCUCAGCUGAACUUCGUGUGUGCCCACGUUUCUGAGCACAUUCCGAAGUGUUUGCAUCAAGAUCUGCUUAGUACUCAGAUAGGAAUCUUGUUUGUGUAAUAAUUAUCUGUACUUGAUGUAAUUGCUGAAGUUUUGAAAACAGAAAUUUCUGAAUAUUUGUUUUGGUUAUUUCACUGUGAGCACAAUAAUAUCACCCUGCUGUGUUUUAAAUUUGUCUCCCUGUAAGAUGUAUUUUUAUAAUGGAAAUAAAGCGAGGUCCGUUUUUAUGCACUUUUCCACCUGCUUGUGCUCUAAAGGUGGGAGCAGCACUUAAAUAAGACAAGCUCUGUGGUUACAGGGAGCAGAUGGGAAAAAGUCAAUACAAUUUCUGGUAUUGUCCGGUGUGACAAAUGAUAUUUGGAGUUAAUGUAGCACACUUGGUGUAAAAUGACUUUUUGAAGCAGUUAAUAGAAGAGAAAUCUGUUUACAAAAAUCAAUAUUUGUACAGAAGCCCUUUGCUGCUUUCUAAAGGUGAAAGUUUCAGCCUGGAUGCAUUGUUUCUGCUGUGUUGGUGUGGCUGUCGGAACCUGAGUGAGACCAAGACAAAUAAAGGCAGUUUGGCCCAGAAACCUCCUCCCUUUGUAUUUUUAACCUGCAUUUCCUGUUUUUUCCCCCCCUCCCUUGAGGUCUUACACUGCAUAAGGUGCUGAGAACUUCUGCUGGACUUAGGGGUG